rnacentral:rRNA from 1 species
UACGGAGGGCUCAAGCGUUGUUCGGAUUCAUUGGGCGUAAAGGGUGCGUAGGUGGCGCCGUAAGUCGGGUGUGAAAUUUCGGAGCUUAACUCCGAAACUGCAUUCGAUACUGCGGUGCUUGAGGACUGGAGAGGAGACUGGAAUUCAUGGUGUAGCAGUGAAAUGCGUAGAGAUCAUGAGGAAGACCAGUGGCGAAGGCGGGUCUCUGGACAGUUCCUGACACUGAGGCACGAAGGCCAGGGGAGCAAACGGG